rnacentral:tRNA from 1 species
GGUGGCUCAGUGGGAGAGCGCUUGCCUUGCAUGCAUGAAGCCCUGGGUUCAAUUCCUCAGCACCA